rnacentral:tRNA from 1 species
GAUUGGAAAGCGAAGAAAUCGCAUUUAGUUUCGGCCUAAACCUUGGUGCCAUCCACCUCCAAUUU